AAACACGCGAAGAAAGAGCAUUAGGAAGGUCGGGACUACUGUUCCGGCAGUCGUGGCUGCUGGCUCUGGUGGUUUUGUUCAUUCCCUGUCCCUCCCAGCGGCAACACUCCAAACAGAACGGCCGCUUGGGAGAGCACGUGUGGCAUCAGGGAAGAGCACUAGGCCGAGAAGAGCUGAACAGACAGGCUGCCUGGUCUUGAACCAUCACAGUCAUCAGGAUGACAUUCUCCUGGAAGGUGAAACCAGCACAGGAACAGGUUAACAGCCUGGACGGAUGUCAGUGCUAUAUAUGCCACCUGGCCUUCCUUCCCUGAUAGCAGCAGAGGGAGGUAGACCCCCCAACUAAACCUCCCUGUGUGGAGUCAGCACUCUCCAUGAGCUUCAUCCAGGGAAAGGGUCAUGACACACCAAGUGCUGCGCAAGCACAAGGGAAGCAGACUUCGGCUUUGUGGCUAGACACAGCUAAGGCCAGCCUGAUAUGGUGCUGGCAGCAGUGCUGGGUCUGGAGACCUCCAGAGAGUGUUCCACCCACCACUCACAGGACGCCAGCUCUGGCAGAGCAUUAUGUAAGGGAAAGAAAGGUGUUUAUUCUAUAUUUUGGCUCCCCUGGGAAAUGGAUGCAAAAGGACAUAAAUAUUCUUGCUGCAGUUAGGCAGCACAGAUGAUCUGCAGUAGAACAGUGUUAAGCCAAGUCCUUGUAGGUCCCAGACCCACUUUUUAAGUGGGAGCUCAGUCAGAUUUUUUAAGGAAAAAUAUCUUUUUCCCUGGAUGAAAAUUUAAUAAAAUACUUUUCAUAUCUC